GUCGAGCGGACCAAUAGAAGCUUGCUUCUGUUGGUUAGCGGCGGACGGGUGAGUAACACGUGGGCAACCUGCCUGUAAGACUGGGAUAACUUCGGGAAACCGGAGCUAAUACCGGAUAAUUCAUCCCCUCGCAUGAGGGGGUGCUGAAAGUCGGUUCACGCUGACACUUACAGAUGGGCCCGCGGCGCAUUAGCUAGUUGGUGAGGUAAUGGCUCACCAAGGCGACGAUGCGUAGCCGACCUGAGAGGGUGAUCGGCCACACUGGGACUGAGACACGGCCCAGACUCCUACGGGAGGCAGCAGUAGGGAAUCUUCCACAAUGGACGAAAGUCUGAUGGAGCAACGCCGCGUGAGCGAUGAAGGCCUUCGGGUCGUAAAGCUCUGUUGUUAGGGAAGAACAAGUACCGGAGUAACUGCCGGUACCUUGACGGUACCUAACCAGAAAGCCACGGCUAACUACGUGCCAGCAGCCGCGGUAAUACGUAGGUGGCAAGCGUUGUCCGGAAUUAUUGGGCGUAAAGCGCGCGCAGGCGGUCCUUUAAGUCUGAUGU
rnacentral:rRNA from 2 species